rnacentral:rRNA from 1 species
UACAGAGGUCUCGAGCGUUAGGCGGAAUCACUGGGCUUAAAGCGUGUGUAGGUGGAUCGUUAAGUACCUUGUGAAAUCCCACGGCUUAACCGUGGAACUGCUUGGUAUACUGGCGGUCUUGAGCCAGCUAGGGGGCUACCGGAACAAAUGGGUGGAGCGGUGAAAUGCGUAGAUAUCAUUUGGAACGCCAAUGGUGAAAACAGGUAGCUGGGGCUGUGCUGACCACUGGAGACACGGAAAGCCAGGGGAGCAAACGGG